UUGGCUCUGGUUCACGGUGCGCAGCCGCGCAGCCGACCCAGCGGCC
rfam:Aeromicrobium marinum DSM 15272 chromosome, whole genome shotgun sequence.